GACGACGCUGGCGGCGUGGAUUAGGCAUGCAAGUCGAACGGUAGGAUACCUUCGGGUAUCUGAGAGUGGCGAACGGGUGAGUAACACGUAGGUGAUCUACCCUCAAGAUUGGGACAACCCAGGGAAACUUGGGCUAAUACCGGAUGAAAGCAGCAGUGAUGUUGUUUGAAAGGUGGCGUAAGCUGCCGUUUGGGGAUGAGCCUGCGCUCUAUUAGUUAGUUGGCGGGGUAAAGGCCCACCAAGGCGAUGAUAGAUAGGCGGCCUUAACGGGUGGUCGCCCACACUGGGAUCGAGAUACGGCCCAGACUCCUACGGGAGGCAGCAGUCGAGAAUAGUCUACAAUGGCCGAAAGGCUGAUAGUGCGACGCCGCGUGAACGAAGAAGCCCUUCGGGGUGUAAAGUUCUUUUAUAUGUGAGCAGUGCUUUCUAUGUGGACAGCAUGGGGAGAGAGAUAUUAGCAUAUGAAUAAGCAACGGCUAACUCCGUG
rnacentral:rRNA from 1 species